rnacentral:tmRNA from 1 species
GGCUUAAUUUGCUAAAGACUGAUUACCAGAUAUGACUGUGUUCUGGAUAAUCGGUUCAUUAAUUUACAGUCUAUAUCUAGAUUCUUCUGUUUGUAGAAUUUAGACUGAAUCUAAUCAAACUCGUUUUUUAUAGCUUGUUUGUCAGCUUAAAUAAAAAAUUAAAUUUAGUAGAUAAACUAAACGUGUAGAGGUUAGGUGAAGGUAUUCUUGGACGCGGGUUCAAAUCCCGCCAUCUCCAUUU